GCAUUAAGAACAAGCGCAGCUUGCUACAAAACCCAAAUUAUUUUCCAGAAUGUUAAGGAAAAGAACGUCAGAACUAUCUGGCUGCGGAAAAUUGCAAAAUUACAUCGAUUACAUGAAACUAAAACCAGAUAAAACAAUUACUAAGUUCAAUUCAAGAAUACAAACAAAACAAAAAUAAAAGCAUUAUGCAGUCAAUGAAAUGUCAAUUCGAACCCAAAUAAGAACUGCAAUACAAGCAAUUACCCUCCAACG
rnacentral:lncRNA from 1 species